rnacentral:rRNA from 1 species
AACGAACGCUGGCGGCGUGGCUAAGACAUGCAAGUCGUACGAUAGGUUGUAGCAAUAUGGCCUAUAGUGGCGGACGGGUGAGUAAUAAAUAGGUAACGUACCCCGGGCACAGGAAUAGCGUCGGGUCCCGCAAGGGAUCCUUUGCGAAAGUGACGGUAAUACCUGGUGACGUCCUUGGGCGGCAUCGCUUGAGGACCAUAAGAUGGGGACCUUCGGGCCUAUCGGCCUGGGCGCGGCCUAUCCUAUCAGCUAGUUGGUGAGGUAACGGCUCACCAAGCUUCGACGGGUAACCGGACUGAGAGGUUGGCCGGUCACAUCGGGACUGAGACACUGCCCGGACAUCUACGGAUGGCUGCAGUAACGAAUAUUCCG